rnacentral:lncRNA from 1 species
AUGUUGGAUGAAAUCAUUGAACUUACCUUUCAAUGGAGUGCUCAAUGGGAAGAAGCCAGACGAUACAUACGAAGAGAUGAGUUGGAGAGCUCCCUCCAGACAGCAGGAAGAAGGACUAAAUGGCUUUUGGGCAGCCAGUCUUUGCUGAGCAAGCAAGCCAGAUGUCAGCACAGUAAGAAACGGCAGAUGAUUGUGUGGAACCAAGGCUGAAUGAAAUGCAAUGGUGGUGGUAAGGUCAAGGGAAAUUUGUUUGACUCUCUGUGUGAAAGUGCUGAGAAUAAAUGAUUCCUAGGUCCCA